rnacentral:rRNA from 1 species
GCAGUUAAAAAGCUCGUAGUCGGAUUUCAGGAUUAGUUGUCGCCCUAUUACUGGGUUGUACUUCUACCCUUCCUAACGAACAGCUAUCAUUUCAUUUAUUUGAUGUGGUAGUCUAUCGUUUCUUUUACUUUGAGAAAAUUAGAGUGUUCAAAGCAGGCUUCUGCCCGAAUAUUACUCUUGGAAUAAUACUAUAGGACCUUGGACUUAUUUGAUGGUGAGUAGGACUGAGGUAAUGAUUGAUAGGGACGGUUGGGGUCAUUCGUACUGUAAAGCGAGCGGUGAAAUGCUUGGACCUUUAUAUGACGACCUACUGCGAAAGCAUUUGACUAGGACGUUCCCGUUGAUCAAGAACGAAAGUUGGGGGAUCGAAGACGAUCAGAUACCGUCGUAGUCUCAACCAUAAACUAUGCCAGCUAGGGAUUGGAAGUCGAUCUUAUUUAUGACACUUUCAGCACCUUAUGAGAAAUCAAAGCAUUUGGGUUCCGGGGGGAGUAUGGUCGCAAGGCUGAAACUUAAAGGAAUUGACGGGAGGGCACCACCAGGAGUGGAGCCUGCGGCUUAAUUUGAUUCAACACGGGAAAACUUACCAGGUCCGGACAAAGUAAGGAUUGACAGAUUGAAAGCUCUUUCUUGAUUCUUUGGGUGGGGGUGCAUGGCCGUUCUUAAUUGGUGGAAUGAUUUGUCUGGUUAAUUCCGUUAACGAACGAGACCUCAGCCUGCUAAAUAGUACUGUCAUUCUGGAAUGGCAGCGACUUCUUAAAGG